rnacentral:rRNA from 1 species
UACGUAGGGUGCGAGCGUUAUUCGGAAUUACUGGGCGUAAAGGGUGCGCAGGCGGUUUCGUAAGCUGGGUGUGAAAGCCCCGGGCUUAACCUGGGAAUGGCAUUCAGGACUGCGAGGCUUUGAGUGUGGCAGAGGGAGGUGGAAUUCCACGUGUAGCAGUGAAAUGCGUAGAGAUGUGGAGGAACGCCGAUGGCGAAGGCAGCCUCCUGGGCCAGCACUGACGCUCAUGCACGAAAGCGUGGGGAGCAAACAGG